rnacentral:rRNA from 1 species
GACGAACGCUGGCGGCGUGCUUAACACAUGCAAGUCGAACGGUGAUGCUCCAGCUUGCUGGAGUGGAUCAGUGGCGAACGGGUGAGUAACACGUGAGCAACCUGCCCCAGACUCCGGCAUAAGCGCUGGAAACGGCGUCUAAUACUGGAUACGAAACUGGCCCGCAUGGGCCUGGCUUGGAACGUUUUUCGGUUUGGGAUGGGCUCGCGGCGUAUCAGCUUGUUGGUGAGGUAAUGGCUCAUCAAGGCGACGACGGGUAGCCGGCCUGAGAGGGGUACCGGCCACACUGGGACUGAGACACGGCACAGACUCCUACGGGAGGGAGCAGUGGGGAAUAGUGCACAAUGGGCGAGAGCCUGAUGCAGCGACGCCGCGUGAGGGAUGACGGCCUUCGGGUUGUAAACCUCUUUCAGCAGGGAAGAAGCGAAAGUGACGGUACCUGCAGAAGAAGCACCGGCUAACUACGUG